GACCCUCAGUUGGUCAGAACAUGGUGCUAAUAACACCAAGGUUGUGGGUUCAAUCCCCAUAUAGGCCA